CCGUUCUCCGGAGAGUCCCGGUCCACAGCUCGGAGGAGGGUCGACGUUUGGUUCAUCCUUACUACCUGAACAAGAAGGGAGAGCAUGAGGGGUUUACGAACCGAUGCAAUCCGUCUCCACCCCAUCACCUCCAGUAUUCAUCAUAUCCAGUGCCCAGUCCUGCUCUACAUCCCUUCAUCGGAUCUACAGCUACUCCCUUCACCACCAACACCAGACUUCGGGAUGGUGCCAACCCACCUCUGCAUUGGACUCAGCGCUCUCAGAGAUCCUUGCUAGGCAGGAGUGAUCAGUGAAUCUUGGAGCGUGAUCGUUCACAUCCUUGAUCUGUAUGGUAGCAGUUCCA